rnacentral:ncRNA from 1 species
UUAGCUAUUUUAGAUAGGUUUGUAUUCAUAACUUGGAUACAAACAGACUCGUUUGUAUCUAUGAUGGCUAGGGGAUUUUAGGAUGGACCGCCACAUAGAUAAAAAAUUAUCUAUAGUGGUUAACGACAUCUUUCAUACUUCGACAUUCUAUUAGACUAAGUAUAGAGGUAUUCACUGUAGAUCAAU